rnacentral:misc_RNA from 1 species
CUAAAAAGUAACUAAUUGCACAUAUUGCAACUAAUUUGCGAGACGAAUCUUUUAAAUCUAAUUGCUCCAUGAUUUAACAAUAUGGUGCUACAGUAACCAUUUGCUAAUGAUGAAUUAAUUAUGAUUAAUAAAUUCAUCUCGCGGUUUACAGGCGGAUUAUGUAAUUUAUUUUGUUAUUAG